UACAGAGGUCUCAAGCGUUGUUCGGAUUCAUUGGGCGUAAAGGGUGCGUAGGCGGCGCGGUAAGUCGGGUGUGAAAUUUCGAGGCUUAACUUCGAAACUGCAUUCGAUACUGCCGUGCUUGAGGACUGGAGAGGAGACUGGAAUUUACGGUGUAGCGGUGAAAUGCGUAGAUAUCGUAAGGAAGACCAGUGGCGAAGGCGGGUCUCUGGACAGUGCCUGACGCUGAGAAGCGAAAGCAUGGGGAGCGAACAGG
rnacentral:rRNA from 1 species